UUGGGGUUUAAUGAGCCUGAAUUAACCGGGAAGUAAAAGCGGCACCACAACCAAGAGUUAGUAUUGAUUCUUCUGGAGCUCUAACUAUCAAAAGAAACUAAAGAUAUUUUUUCUGAGGUUUUGUCCUGUACAACUGGCCAGAGGAAAAAAAAUCAGGCUUCACAAAUCAUCAGUUUCUGAGCGUUGAGGAAUUGGUCCCAAGUGGGCAAGUUUGGUGGCAGCAGGCAUAGAGAGUUACUCUUAAUGAGACAACCCAAUCAAGCAAUACCACAAAGGCCUCUGAUGACACUGGCUGCUAUGAGGAUAAUGUGUUGUACAGGACAGAGAACAGUGGAGAUUCCAGAAACAGGAGGGACAAAAAGAUAAACCAGAAGCUGGUGGUGGCGGCAUUUGAGGAGCUCUUAUUAGUCAAUUCGUAAGUGUUUUCCAGCUGCUGGCAGGACCUUGGCAACACAUAUGAAUGGCUCAGAACCCCAGUGUAGACAGUCUGUUCUGCUGAACUUCUACACCCACGAGCCCAGCACACCCAGAGGACUAGAGUAGGACUAGAGGAUCAGUAAAAUUACAAGCAUUUUUCAGCAUGUGUUACUCAUUUUUAUCUCUCUUCCACCCUUUAAAUUCUUGGCCAUAUUAUUUUAUUUUUUUCAGAGAUUAAUUUUAUUUAUUUUAUUUUGAGAGAAAGAGAGCAUGAACACUACCACACAGGUUGUUGGCCAUUUGAAACAUAGGUAUUUCUAUAGAAAUCAUCUCAAGUUUGACAAAGGUGAUGUUUAUUUUCACAACAGUGACCAAGCAGUUACAAAUAGAGUGUUAGGACAAGAUUUUCUGAUGGCCAUUCUUAGGAUUUCUAUGUAUUCUAAAAACAUUUUCUAAGUUCUAGAAUUUCACCUGUGAGUAAGAUGAACAUGAGUAUUCAAGAUAUAAAUAGUAAUCUUUAAAAACAUAGAUUAAACACAUGUUGUAGGGAGCAAUUAACCAUGACCUUGGAACCACAGGUGUGCUAAAUACAUGUAAACCUCCUGUUUUUCAAAAGCUGUGGUGAUUACCGUAUUCUCAGAUGAGGUCAAGGGAGACUGGUAGGAAUAUGGCUUUUCUGUUCAGUGGCUAAUAUUUACAAACCCUGUGACAACAAGAGUUCUGAUUUGUAACAAAAAAAAAUUGUAAGGGACCAGAAAAAAAGGCAGAACCCUACCAUUAAAAAAAAAAUGAGGAACAUUAAAAGGCUUUAUUUUUCUCUUGGAUGCUCAGUGCCACCAUAUAUAUCUCCAAUAUGUUCAGACACAUCUGCCAACUCCUCCCUAUUUAAGAAGCCAAUCAAUGCUUUAAGAAAGAUGCAGACCCUCUUCCAGUGAUUCCCAACUAUGGCUGUGCAUUAGAAUCCCCCAAAGAGUGUUUUAGAAAUAUAGUUCCCUUGGGGUGCCUGGGUGGCUUAGUCGGUCGAGUGUCUGACUCUUGAUUUCGGCUCAGUUCAUGAUCUAACAAUUCAUGGGAUUGAGCCCUGCAUCAGGCUCUGCACUGAUAGCAUAGAGCCUGCUUGGGAUUCUCUCUCUCCCUCUCUCUCUCUCCCUCUCUCUCUCUCUCUCUCUCUCCAUCUCUCUCUGCCCCUCCCCCACGCUCACAUACACGCUCUCUCUCUUUCUCUCUUAAACUAAAUAAACACUAAAAGAACUAUAUUUCACCAGACAUCUUCCACCACUCCAUCUCCCUGCUCCUCCUUCUGCUUCCCUCCUCCUUGCUCCCAUAUAUUCUUAUUUUGUAGUUCUGAGGUAAGACCCAGGAAUCUGUGUGGAUUCAUGUCAUAUGUGUCUUCACCAGCUUUACGUAAACUUUUGUUAAAUGCUCAUUAUGAAAAUUCCAUAAACACCCAAAUUUUAAAUUUGCUAAAUAUGCCUUGGACCAUUAGAAUCUGGUAAGCUAACUUCAAAUGAAAACCAUCCUGCAGAGCCUUGACUAGAGCUGGCAAGGUACUGGAGAUGAGGCCACAGGCACUGAGCCCCACUGCCAGGUCCUGGCCCUGCUGUGCAUCAGCCAACUCCAGGCCCGUAACUUCACCUCUCUGUGCCUCAGUUUCCUUACCUAUGAAGUGGGGAUAAAAGCGGUACCUAUCUCAUAGGGUUUUUGAGAGGAUUGAAUAGAUACAUAAAGCACUUAGAACAGUGUCUGGCUCAUAGUAAGCACUGUAAACAUUGGUUACUGUUUUUAUCCAAGAUUUUACCCAAGGCCUAAAGAAAUCAGUCAAAAUUAUGUUUUUUAAUCAAACGUUUAAUUAAAUUGUUCUUUGCGUUUCAAAUCUCCCAUUUCUUUGAGUGUAAAAAUUGCUCUUGGAAAAAAAAAAAAAGUCUGCAAUCUUCGUUUCUCUAGUUUCUAUCAAGACCAUUAACCACCGAGAAGGCACCUUCUUUAUAAAUAAAUACUGGGACCUGUUUUGUAAAACUAAUUUCAAUAAAUACAGACAAAUUAUUCCACUUGGAACUCUCCCUUUUAAAAUAGAGCUACGAGACUUUUAAAAUAUCAUGGAAAAAUCUAUUUCAUUAUACUGAUGUUAUCAUACUUAUUUUGCAAAAAAAAAAUUUUGGAUUUUAUUCCAUUGUCCUCUAGAUUGUGAUGGUGGUUGCAUUUGCCUGAUUACCGAAAAUGCUAAUAGAUGAAGAAUGAACAUUAUUCUUAGUACUAUGCUAAUUUUGGAAGUGAGAAAUUAUAAAUCAUUAUACUUAGUCUGGAGUAUAUACUUAAGUGCCUCUCUCUGGGAAAAAGGAUGCUGAUUAACCCAGAAGAUCAAUUAUGAUUUCUACAGAUUGUUGCUUUUAUAAAACCAUUUUCAUAUUAAUAUUAGAAGAUGAUAUUAGUCCUAGUGCAAUGGUAAUUUUUAGGUUUGCCACAAAGAUAUUUUAAAAAUCUAUUCAACUUUACAGCAUUGUAUAGUUUUAUUUCUCUCUGGUGUAGGUUUAAAUAUUCAUGCACACAUGGAGGCAGAUUAAAAUCUAUAACCACCACAGCUGCUUCACAAAUUAUUGACAGGGAUAAUAUUCCAUGGCCUGGGUGGCACAGGAAGGCAGUUUCGACCAUUCAACAACACACCAUAUGGGGACCUCUGUGCCCAGAGCUGUUGACGAUAGGUGGGGGUAGAACUUCAAGAGAAAUGAGAGAGGCUUCUGUACUCCAGGAGUGUAUAAUCUUCAGAAAACUGGAAGCAGAUCAGCAUGGCGCUCGCUCAUCCCAGUCAGAAUCAUGAGAGCAGAGCAAACACAACUCUCUCAACAAAAGCCCUGGCAAGUUCUGGGAAGCCUGAAAGACGGAAAUGGACCAGGAGCCACUGGAUCCGAGGCCCCAGCCAUAAGCCUGCUGUAAACCAGGAGUCACCCAGAUCCAAGUGAAAAGCAGUAGAGUGUGACUGAGAAAGCCAGAAGCACGAUCCAAGUGGUAAAGAUAUGUGCUCAUAUGUCAUCACUGGCGGUGACAAAAAAACCUCCCAUAUAUCUUGCUGUGGCAUUGGCUAAAGCUGUUAGAACAAUGGUUUGGAAAGGGGAACACCACUUAAUUUCAAAGACAUGCUCCAAUUAGCCUGGUCCAUUAGUAGGACACAUUAGAAAUAGGUUUUCAUUCCUUCUACUCAGCUUUUCAAUUUGACAUUUUCAGGAAAAACUGCUAAAACUUGUGAGGAAUAGUUGAAAAUGUGUGAACCUUUACCUAUGAAACUAAAUUUAAUGAUGUAAAAUGAAAGAAUAAACGUAUCCUUCACUAAGUAGAUUUGAUGUUAAAACU